rnacentral:rRNA from 1 species
UACGGAGGGUGCAAGCGUUAAUCGGAAUUACUGGGCGUAAAGCGUGCGUAGGCGGCUUGUUAAGUCAGAUGUGAAAGCCCUGGGCUCAACCUGGGAACUGCAUUUGAAACUGGCAAGCUAGAGUUUAAGAGAGGUAAGUGGAAUUUCAGGUGUAGCGGUGAAAUGCGUAGAGAUCUGAAGGAACACCAGUGGCGAAGGCGACUUACUGGCUUAAAACUGACGCUGAGGUACGAAAGCGUGGGUAGCAAACAGG